rnacentral:lncRNA from 1 species
AGACAUUUCACAUCCAUAACUUAUGGAAGUUUCAAAACUCUGAAGAUCAUAACUUUAAAAAAACUUUUGAGUUCCAUAAUUUUAUGACAAAGNAAUUUGUAACUCCUUAAAACCACUUAGAUCAAACUUUUAAAACAAAUAAAAUAAUCAUAUCAUUCUAUCUUUUAAUAAAUUGACCUAAUUCAACUCUUGUAGUAAAGUGACUCAAAUUUUACAAAUAAUUAGUUUUUCAUAAAAUCAAGUAAUUAUCAUAAAAUUUGACAAACUUCAUGUUUUUUUUUUCUUUUUUUUUUCCAUCAAAUUGAAAAAAAAUACAUUUGCAUCAAAUAUAGUAGAAAACAACCCAUGGCUCUGAUACCACUGUUGGGUUUUGGUAUAAUACAACAUCCUAUGGUGCACAUACAAACCUAAAUACCUUGGAUCUAUGUUUUCACUAAUUAUACAUGCAAAUGGUUUCCAAGGCAUUAAACCUAUAACUAGCAUGCAUUUGACAUAAACCAUAUAAUAUACUAGUUAGGGAAACAUACCUUUUAUGUGGCUUGAAGUCUUGAUGUAUUUGGCCUUAAGAGCUUAGCACCAAUAGUAUGAAAUGCCUCAAAUGGAAUCACAACACACCUAGGACAAAGGUGGCUCUUGAGAGAGAAUUCCAUGCACCAAAACACCUCCAUAUUUCUUUAAGAAAAGAAGUGGUGAUUUUGGCUAUGGGGUAACCUAUUUAUAUGUACUUAUAAUAUAUUAAUAAACCAUAAAUAACCUUCUCUCAAAAGUCCAUCCUAACAAAUUGUCCUGAUGAUAUGCAACCCAAAUGGACCAUGCUACUCUCGGGUCAAGUACAUACCAAUAAUAGUUAAGGGCUUAGACAUCUAAUCCAACAGAGGCAACCCCGGUGAUUUUCGGGUCAAUCAAGGAAGGGAUUAUUGAGUUGAUGAAGGAUCGCCUCAGGGCGUUUAGGAGUGACUGGGUGUCUAGCCAGUCAAGGUCGCACACACUAUCCUUCAAGGACUUCGGGGGGAGUGGUGUGUUGGAUUUCCAUGGGGUGAAGGACCCCAUUGUUGCCAGGAGAUGGAUUGCGGACAUGGAGUCUGCUCAGUUAAAAAGCUUCUUCCCUAAGGGGUCGAAGGUCCGAUAUGUUGCGGCAUGUGUGAGAGACAGAGUCAGAGAUUGGUGGGAGUCAGUUGGUGACUCUUUAGGAGCAUCAUCUAUUGAGUCUAUGAAUUGGUUGGACUUUGUGACCAGGUUUAGGGCUGAGUUUGCGUUGGUUAUGUAGCUUCAACAGCUGGCCAGCGAGUUUCUUGACAUGAGAUAGACUAUUGAGAUGGUUGCGGAGAUUACCGCCAAGUUUCUGGAGAGGGACUUAUUGGUGCCUCAGUAUGCAGGAGAUGAGGAGAUGCGGAAGACCCGCUAUCAUGACAUCUUGAGGGCUGAUAUCCGUAAGCAUGUAAGCUACUCAGCAUGCCCGACCCUGGAUUCUAUGAUUUCCAGGGCAAGGGAGAGGGAGAUUGACUUAGAGCGCCUCAGGAAGAGGAGGGCAGAGACGGAGCAGGUUACUGGGGCUUUAGGGAAGAAUCCCAAGGGACCCGACACUAGGUCGAAGGGCCUGUCGGGCCAUAGCCGCUACAAGAAAUGCGACAGGCCGCAUGAGGGAGCUUGUAGAUUGGGAUCAUCGGGCUGCUACAAGUGCAGCAGGACUGGGCACUUUGGCAGGGAUUGUACUGCCCUUACCCCCAUCAUUCAAACAUCAGACCUGAUUUGCUUUCAUUACAAUCAGAAGGGCCAUAAAAAUUCCAACUGCCCAAGACUGACAGCAGAAGCAGCGCCAGUGGUGACGCCAGAUCCAGCGGCCCAGCGGAUCAUUGAUGGCCGGUAGGGCAAGACAGAGGCUCCAGUGGUGAGGAGCCAAGCCUUCCAGUUGACUACUGAGGAGGCACGCGCCGUACCCAAUGUGGUGAUGGGUAUGAUUUCUUCUCCCUAGCUCUUAUUAUAUGUUGCUUAUGAUAUUUAUGUGCCAUGUUAUGUGUUUUGUUUAGGAUCGCUCCAUGUGAACGGUAUUCCAGUUCAGGUGUUGUUCGAUUCGUGUGCUACACGAUCAUUUUUCUCUCUUGCACUUAGCAAGAGGUUCCCUGAGUCUUUGGGCAUGUUGGAUUGCCUUCUAGGGGUCGAGAUUGCUGACGACCGGUCAGUUCGAGCAUCAGAGGUUUUCAGGGAUUGUGUUUUGAGGUUGUUCGAGGAGCGCUACCUGGUAGACAGUGUUGGAUAAGGUGUCUAAGUCCAUAACUUUAUUUGGUAUAUACUUGAACCGACCCAGCAUGGUCCAUUUGGGUUGCACUUCACCCGAACUAUUUAUGGUUAAACCUUUGAGAAUUGUAUGUUUAUGAUUUGUUAAUAGAUUGUAAGUUAUAAUAUACUAAUAUGAAAUCAUAUUAUUUAAUUAGUAUUGAUCAUAGAUAAGUUUAGAAUUAAUUUGGUGAUAAAAAAGGUGACUAGUUAAAUAUGGGCUCUUGUAUUUAUAUAAGUGUGGGCUAAUACUCAUUUGGAAUGGGCUUGGCAUGCAUGGGAGUCCAUGGAUAGUCCAUAGAGCUUUUAACCCAUGGAUCCUUGUAAAGGAAGAGUCAUGGGUAUUAGGGUUUACAUGGAUGUAACCCUAAUCCUCCAUACUAUAUAAAGGAGCUUGUGAUGCUUGAAAUGGUACUAGUUGUGUGUGUAAAAAGUGGUGGCCGAUUUCUAUAAGCUACAUACACUCUCAUAAGGUUUUUCCAAGUUUGUGGUUAUUUGUGAUUUCCAUUUGAGGCAUUCACAUUAUUGGUGCUAGGCCCGGAAACUCCAAGGAAUCAACUCACAAAUUGAAAGGUAUGUAAUUCUUCUAGCCAGUAUGUUUAAUGUUCCCCAUGCCAUGCUAGAUAGGUUAUGAACCUUGGAAAAACAAAGUUGCAUGUAUUCUUAGUAAAACAUAGAUCCAAGGUUUUAGAGUUUCAUGAACACCUUAGGAGUGUUAGAUUGCUCAAAACACAACCGUGGUAUCUGAGCCUAUGAUUUUUUUCUUGAAUACUUGAUGCAAACUGUUGAAAAGUCGUAAAAUUGAGCUGUCUGGGCAGUAGACUCGACGAGUCCAAGCACAAAUUCAUUCUACUCGUCGAGUAGGUUCCUGCACUCGACAAGUAGGAGACACAAAAUGCAGUUUUUCAACUUUUGUUGCUGGAAAUGGACUAGAAACAUUACCCUAAACUGUUUUGAUGUUUUAAAACCUGUUUUAGAUGGUGUAAUGGUUGUUCUAAUCCAUUUACAAUGGCUUACAUCAAAAUUCCAUGUUUUAUAUGUUUUCAUAUGAUUCUUUAAAUUUUGAUAUGAUAUGCAUGUUCUUAUGAGUUAUUGUUAGAUCAUAUGAAUUACUUGCUAAAUUGUUUAAUGAUUAAUUCUUGAUCAAUUAUGUGUUUUAAUGGAAUCCAUAAUUUGUCCUCAAGUUGUGGAUUUCCAAAGGUCACCUCUUUUAAUGAACAUUUAAACACAUAAGUUACAUAAAAAUGAAGAGUCUUCACUUUUAUGAACCCUUAACUUAUAAGUUAUGAAACGAAAAGUUUUGAAGAGUUUAAAAACUUGCCCUCAAGUCUUGGAAUUUGUAAAGACACACACAAUUUAAAUUGCAACCCUUAGGAUUUUAAAAGUUAAAAUUCAACCCUUAUACUACUAUAAGGUUAAUGGUNUAAUGGUUAAUUAUUAUAUAUAUGUAUAAGAAUAAGUCGUUCUACCGUUAGUAGGCCUCAUUCACGAAGCCGGUCUAUAAGGUGGGUAUAAGGUUGUUGCCUAUAAAAUGGCAACUUAAUGGGUGUCCACUCUCACCCACCGCUUGCUUGAUCGGUGGAGGGUCGUUAGCCGAACGGGUAGGACAAUGAAUUUGAUUCUCAUUAAAAGUAUAAUGAUUAUUAUAAAGUAACUAAUUGUUUUAGUAAUUCCCAAUCUUAGUUACUUUGGGAAAAUGUGAAAAGGUGCUAACCCAUGAAAUUCACACUUUGUACCUUACCAAGUCGUUGGUGGAGCGUGUGUGGUUAACCGGCACAUUAACUUGGAUUAGUAAGGAUAACAAAGGGUGACUUAACGUUUAUCAUAGAUCGGUGGAGCGUGUGUGGUUAACCGGCACAUCGAUUAGGUGAUAAUAUUAAGGGUACCAAGUGAAUUUGCAUGGUUAUUUACACCUUGUUUUGUGAUCCUCGGCAUCCCAGUCACAAAACUUGAAGGGCACACUCGAGAUUGAAACAUGCCAUUGAAAAGUUCAAUGAAUCUCAAAAGAAUCUAGGAAUUUCAAACCAAUUAAACCUAAUAAUUCAUUUCGUUUUCAUGGUGGAAAUUAGUGAAUCGUCAUUCACCUACCUUCAAAUAUGUUAUAGCUUAGAUUACGGCAUCCCUCUUCUAAGUUAUAAUAUAUUGUGUUGGGUCCUAGCCUUAAUAUUACAUUUGGGUGUCUUAUUAAGGACUCUAUAUAUCUAAUCUAAACUUGUCUUUCUUCUUUUUAGAUGUCUUCCAACAAUGCUUCAGGUUCUAACCCUACUGGCUCUUUCUCUCUCAUGAACCUUUGUGGGAGAGUCAUCUUCGAUGGUUCCAACUUUAUGGAUUGGAUCUGGAACAUCAAGAUGGUCACUCGUUACGAGGACAAUGAAUAUGUCCUCGACAAGGAGCUUAAGGAUCUUGAGCCGACUGCAACUCCUAAGGAGGUCGCUGCAUAUGAGGCACAUAAAAGAGAUGCUACCAAAGUGGCAUGCAUCAUCAUGGCCACUAUGACAGCCGAGCUCCAAAAGUCCUACGAGGACUACUAUCCUUUUGAGAUGCACCAGGAUUUGAUGGACGACUACCAUCAGAGUGCUCGUCAAGAGUGAUAUGAAAUCAUCUCCUCCAUGAUAACAACCCAAAUGAAGGAUGGUGAACCCAUCACGGGCCACAUGCAGAAAAUGCAAAGGUAUGUGGACCGUUUGCAGAAAUUGAAUGUGAACUUCCAUGAGGAGUUGGCAAUUGACAUCAUUUUGCACCCCUUACCUUCGUGUUAUGAUCAAUUCCACAUGGCAUACCACAUGAACAAGGAGGAAGUCACCCUCAGCAAGCUUCAAGGACUUCUGAAGACCGCCGAAAGUAGUCUUAAAGGUAAGUCGGUUGUUACUACUCCUACUCCUACAUCUACCCCUAUUUUGGCCAUUAGGAAAGGCAAAGGGAAGAUGAGGAAGACCCGUUCGAAGGGUACCAAGGGAAAGUCUCUUGAUGGCUCCUCGUCAAUUGGAACCAAAGGUGGUUCUGCUACUCCUGCCAUCCCUAAGGAUGUUGAUUGUUGAAUGCUUCUAUUGCCAGAAAAAGGGGCACUGGAAGCGAAACUGCCCAAAGUACUUGCAGAUGUCAAGGAUGGGAAAGUGAAACCAUCCCAUGCAGGUAUUUACACUAUAUUGUCUAAUAACUCACCAUAUUCUAACUCUUGGGUCCUUGAUACAGGUUGUGGUAUUCACAUAUGUUGUGAUUUACAGGGCCUAAUAACAAGCGAGGAUGUGGAGCACAGGAAGAUAAACUUAAUCAUGAAGAAUAGGAAGGCUUCACCUAUUACCAAGAUUGGAGUUUAUACUUUGUUGCGAAGUAGUGGGUUAAAGUUAGAUUUAAAUAAAUGUGUUUACUCGUCCGAAAUGGCAAGGAAUAUUAUUUCCUUUCAUAGUUUGUACAAACAAGGGUUCACCUUUUCUUUUGAUAAUGAAAUUGGUAGUAUUAAUGCUUUCUUUAAUAAUGUUCUUUAUUUUAAAGCAUUACCUUGUGAUGGUGUGUAUGAAACUGUGUCGAUUGUAGACAACUUAGGAAAUAAUGUGUUGUAUAUUGAUUCUUCUACUAGCUUGGAUAAAGCAUCAUUGUGGCAUUGUCGUCUUGAACAUAUAAACAAGAAACGCAUAGGCCAGCUCCAAAAGGAUGGAGUCUUGGAAUCAUUUGACCUAAAGUCAUAUGAUAGUUGUGAAUCUUGUUUACUUGGGAAAAUGACAAAAUCACCCUUCACUGGUUCUUGUGAAAAGGAUGAGGGUUUGUUGGAUCUUAUACAUACUGAUGUAUGUGGACCCUUCAAAACCGCCACAAGGGAUGGUAAUCGCUAUUACCUAACUUUACUGAUGAUUAUAGUAGAUAUGGUUAUAUCUACUUAAUCAAGCAUAAGUCAGAAACUUUUGAAAGGUUUAAAGAGUUUAAACAGGAAGUCGAAAAUCAAUUGGGAAGGAACGUUAAGAUGCUUCGAUCCGAUCGAGGUGGUGAGUAUCUUAGAACAAAGUUCCUCGAAUAUCUAAAGGAGUGUAGGAUUGUCUCACAAUUGACACCUCCCAGGACACCACAUCUGAAUGGUGUGGCUGAAAGGCAUAAUCGGACCUUGUUGGACAUGGUUUGCUCCAUGAUGAUUCGAGCUUCGCUACCAAUCUCUUUUUGGGCUUAUGCUUUAGAGACAGCCGCCCAUAUCCUUAAUUUAGUCCCUACAAAGAAGGUUGCCAAAACACCUUAUGAGAUGUGGACUGGGAAAGUUCCCAAAUUGGACCACAACAAGAUUUGGGGUUGCGAUGCUUUUGUGAGACGCAAGACUCAUGAUAAGCUUGAACCUCGAAGUGGGAGAUGUAUUUUCAUCAACUACCCACAUAAAUCCUUUGGUUACCUCUUCUACAGACCCAGUAAGAAUGUGGUCUUUGUGCCAUAGACAGGGCUCUUUUGUGAAAGAGAUUCAUGAGCCAAGGAAAUAGUGGGAGGCAAAUUGACCUUGAAGAACUUCAAGAGUCAAGUGAUGAAGGAACCUCAAAUCCUAGCAAUCAACCUGAGGAGGAAACUCUUGUUGAUCCGUCUGACGAGUCUGUACCUCUGAGGCGUUCCACGAGAGUUAGGAAUGUACCUGACCAUUACUAUGGUUUCCAUAUUACUGUAGAAGGCGAUACACUUAUCGGUGAUAGCACACUGGUAAAUCUGAAUGAACCUAACAGCUACAUGGAAGCCAUGGCAGGCCCUGAGUCUUCUAAAUGGAAAGAGGCUAUGGACAAUAAGAUACAGUCCAUGUAUGACAAACAAGUUUCGAACUUGGUGGACAAUGUACCAGGUCGUAAGACAGUCGGGUGCAAAUGGAUCUUUAAGAAGAAGACCGACAUGGAUGGUAAUGUACACCCUUAUAAGGUGCGACUGGUUGCAAAGGGCUUUUCUCAAACUCCGGGAGUUGAUUAUGAUGAGACCUUUUCAUCGGUAGCAAAGAUUAAGUCUAUUAGGUUUAUGUUAGCCAUUGUUGCAUUUCAUGACUAUGAAAUAUGGCAAAUGGAUGUCAAAACCUCUUUCCUUAAUGGGAAGUUGGCUGAAGAUGUUUACAUGAGUCAGCCAAAGGUUUUUGUCAGUACAAAGCACCAAAAUAGAAUGUGUAAGCUUGAGACAUCCAUCUAUGGAUUGAAACAAGCACCUCGCAGAUGGAAUCUUUGUUUCGAUGAGAAAGUCAAAGAGUUUGGCUUUUCAAUAAGCGAAGAUGAGUCUUGUGUUUAUGUCAGAGCUAGUGGGAGUAUAGUUAGCUUCUUGGUGUUGUAUGUGGAUGACAUACUACACAUAGGAAAUGACAUCCCAACUUUCCAGGAAGUGAAUUCAUGGCUUGGGAAGUGUUUUGUUAUGAAGGACCUUGGGGAGACUAUCUAUAUCCUAGGGAUAAGGAUAUUAAGAGACAGGAGUAAAAGGCUAAUUGGAUUUAGUCAGAGUACCUACUUGGAUAAGAUGUUGAAAAGGUUCAACAUGCAGAAUUCCAAGAAAGGAGAAUUACCGAUCCAAAGCAAUGUCAAACUGAGCAAGACUUAGAGCCCGAGUACAGAGGCUGAGAUAGCUGAGAUGAGUCGAUUGCCAUAUGCUUUUGCUGUUGGCUUGAUCAUGUAUGAUAUGACUUGUACCCGCCCUGAUGUGUCCUUUGCUUUGAGCAUGGUCAGCAGAUAUCAGGGGAACCUUGGCAAGGCUCACUGGACUACAGUAAAGAAUAUUCUUAAGUACCUGCAGAGGACUAAGGAUUGGAUUCUUACCCUUGGUGGGAGUGAUGACUUGAGAGUAGUAGGGUAUAGUGAUGCUAUCUUUCAGACUGAUACGGAUAACUUCCGCUCUCAGUCGGGCUGGGUCUUUACCCUAAAUGGAGGGGCAAUCACUUGGAAGAGUUCCAAGCAGGAGACAGUAGCUGAUUCGACUUGUGAAUCAGAGUACAUAGCAACGAGUGAAGCGGCAAAGGAGGCGAUAUGGCUGAAGAACUUCAUCGGAGACCUUGGAGUUGUACCAUCUAUUAAGGAGCCUAUGGAGAUUUUCUGUGACAGCAAUAGUGCGGUUUCCUUAUCCAAGGAACCGAGAGAUCUUGGAAGAUCCAGACACAUUAACAGAAAAUAUCACUUCAAAAGACACAAGAUAGAAGAAUGACUCCUCGUGGAAAAGAAGGUAUCAUUAGAAGAGAAUCCUGUAGAUCCCUUACAAAGGGACUGACGAGGGUUAGGCACUUACAGCAUGUGAGACGCAUAGGGCUGAAGGAUGAUAUUACUUUUACAGAUUAGAUAGCUAUUUCUGAAAGUUGUAAAAUGUAAUCGACAUUUGAUGAUGAAUAAAAGGUGUAUUUAUUUAUGAGUAAGGUAUUACUGUCUUUUGUCAGUUAUUUACUAUUGUUUCAGCUUUGUAUGUUUUGACUUCCAGAAUAAAUUACUUUAUUCAAACUUCCACAGUCGGUCAUACGUCGGAAGUAGGUAUGAUUAAGACUAUCAUGAAUUGGGCUUGUAGAUCACUAAAGGUGUUUAGCCAUAGCAAUGGUUGCUAUAACAUUCAUGAGUGCUCAUAAGUUUUGAGUAUUGGAAUAAACCCACGCUCAGUGGCAUCACUUCAUGGAAUUUAUCUCGAGUGAUCGUGAGACGGUAAUAUCAAAUAAAUCUUCAAACCUAGAGAUAUGACUUGUUGCCUAUGAGUUGGUUAUACAUUGAUUGUACAUAAAUGCAUUGGUAACUCGAUGUUAUAAAACGUGCCUUUGUGUAUAAUUCAACAAGUAGUAGAACAAACAUAUGAGUCGAAGUUUAUCUGUUCCUUCUUGGAUUAUAAGCGAUAUCUGGGCCCUCGAUGAUUUUUUGUUGACCCAUGUAGCAGGCCCGGUCAGAACUAAGUUGAUGUGUUCAAUUAAGUUCUAUGUCAAACAAAUCAGGAAAUCGAGAAACAAACCGUUGGACAAUAAGUAAGACAUUGUUCCAUGUAUUUGUCCGGCUGAUAUCUAGAACAGAGGAUUAUAUGAUCACUUAUCUAAAAUGGCGCUUCAUAGUUCAACAGAGUUUUGAGAGCUAUGAUUGUCAGUUGGUUCCUGAAGUAAUAUAGGAAAAUAUAGUUAUUAGGCUUAUCCAUGUGGGAGACUGUUGGAUAAGGUGUCUAAGUCCAUAACUUUAUUUGGUAUAUACUUGACCCGACCCGACAUGGUCCAUUUGGGUUGCACUUCACCCGAACUGGUUAAACCUUUGAAAAUUGUAUGUUUAUGAUUUGUUAAUAUAUUAUAAGUUAUAAUAUAUUAAUAUGAAAUCAUAUUAUUUAAUUAGUAUUGAUCAUAAAUUUAUUUAAAAUUAAUUUGGUGAUCAAAAGGUGACUAAUUAAAUAUGGGCUCUUGUAUUUAUAUAAGUGUGGGCUAAUACUCAUUUGGAAUAGGCUUGGCAUGCAUGGGAGUCCAUGGAUAGUCCAUGGAGCUUUUAACCCAUGGAUCCUUGGAAAGCAAGAGUCAUGGGUAUUAGGGUUUAGAUGGAUGUAACCCUAAUCCUCCACACUAUAUAAAGGAGCUUGUGAUGCUUGAAAUGGUACUAGUUGUGUGUGUAAAAAGUGGUGGCCGAUUUCUAUAAGCUACAUACACUCUCAUAAGGUUUUUCCAAGUUUGUGGUGAUCUGCGAUUUCCAUUUGAGGCAUUCACAUUAUUGGUGCUAGGCUCUCAAACUCCAAGGAAUCAACUCAUAAAUUGAAAGGUAUGUAAUUCUUCUAGCCAUUAUGUUUAAUGUUCCCCAUGCCAUGUUAGAUAGGUUAUGAACCUUGGAAAAACAAAGUUGCAUGUAUUCUUAUUAAAACAUAGAUCCAAGGUUUUAGGGUUGCAUGAACACCUUAGGAGUGUUAGAUUGCUCAAAACCCAACAACAAAGUCAUGAUCGGUAUGCAUUGGUUGAGCCCUAAUAGGGUUGUGUUGACUACGCNNNNNNNNNNNNNNNNNNNNNNNNNNNNNNNNNNNCCCCAAGGGGGGGGGGGGGGAGCUGGUGAUUUAGGGCGAGAGGCCAUAGCCUGGACCAACGUUAUGUUCAACAGCGAGGGCUAGACGGUAUCUCCAGCAGGGGUGUGUAGGGUAUGUCGCAUAUGUCAUUGAUACCCAGGAGGCGGGUAAGGUGGCGGUGAGUGAUGUACCAGUGGUGCGAGAGUACGCGAAUGUAUUCCCAGAGGAGUUGCCUGGGAUAUCUUCGGAGAGACAGGUAGUGUUCAGAAUCGACCUGGUCCCUAGUGCGGCUGGGAUAGCCAAGGCACCAUAUCGGUUGGCUACUCUUGAGAUGCAGGAGUUACAAGAUCUGUAAGACAAGGGGUCAUUAGACCGAACAGUGCACCCUGGGGAGCCCCGAUCCUGUUUGUGAAGAAUAAGGACAGGUCGCAUCGGAUGUGUAACGAUUACUGGGAGCUGAAAAAGGUAACAGUAAAGCCGUUAUCCACUCCCGAGGAUUGAUGAUCUCUUCGACCAGCUACAGGGGGCAUCUUGGUUUUCCAAGUUAGAUUUGCGGUCAAGCUACCAUCAGAUGAGGUUCAGAGAUGAGGACAUACAGAAGACUGCUUUCCGGACUCGUUAUGGCCACUACGAGUUCGUGGUGAUGCCCUUCGGGCUCACCAAUGCUCCUGUCGCGUUCAUGGACCUCAUGAACCGUGUGUGCAAACCGAUGUUGGAUCGGUAUGUCAUAGUUUUCAUUGACGACAUCUUGGUCUAUUCCAAGACGCAGGAGCUGCAUGGGGAGCAUUUGUGAGAGGUGUUGGAUACUCUUGGGAGGGAGAGAUUGUAUGCCAAGUUCUUUGGAUAAGGUGUCUAAGUCCAUAACAAUUUCUGGUAUGUACUUGACCUGGUUAGCAUGGUCCAUUUGGGUUGCAUGGCAUCAUGAUAAUUGGAUAGACAAAAUGAGAAGAAGGAAACUUAUGAUUUGUUAAUAUAUUAUAAGUUAUAAUAUAUUAAUAUGAAAUCAUAUUAUUUAAUUAGUAUUGAUCAAGAAUUAAUUUGGAAUUAAUUUUGUGAUAAAAAAGAGAAUAAUUAAAUAUAUGGGGAUUGAUUGUGUAAAUCAUCCAUUCGUAUAUAGUGGGCUUAUGAUCCAUGGUUUAUUGGAUUGGGCUAAAACCCAUAGGGUGCUCAAUGGAGGAUAAAACCCAUAGAUCAUGGAGGAAAUGAAAAGUCAUGUCAAUUAGGGUUUACAUGGUGUAACCCUACUUGUGACACACUAUAUAAAGACCCCAUAGGCUAGNGCAAAAUCGGCACUAAGUGAAGAACAAGGAGGGCUAGCCGAUUUUGAGUGAUAGUGUACUUCUCUCAAAGUUAUUCCAAGAGUUGUGGUGUUGUGUGAAACAUUUGAGGCAUCACAUUUGGGGUGCUAGGCUCACAAAGUUCUUAAGGAAUCCAAGCAACAAGAAAGGUAUAUUCUUCUACUAGCUUUUAUGUUUCAAGUUCCCCAUGCCAUGCUAGUUAGGAUAAGAACCUUGGAAAAAUCAAAUUUACAUGUAUCUUAGUAAAACAUAGAUCCACGGUUUCUAGGGUUGCAUGUACACCAUAUGAGUGUUAGAAUGCUCAAAACCCAUUAGUGGUAUCAGAGCCUAGGCUUGUUUUUCUUGAUACUUGAUGCAAAUUGUAAAAGAAAAUUGAAAAAUUUGCAUUCUGCUAAGUGGACCCACCCAAUCCAUGGGGGGAAUUGAUGAGUCCAUGGGUAUCUUCAUCCUACUCGUAGAGUAGGUUCAUGCACUUGACGAGUAGGAGGCCCAGAGUGCAGUUUUUCGAGUUUUUAGCUGGAAUUGGACUAGAAUCAUUACACUAAACUGUUCUGGACUUAUAAAACCUGUUUUGAUGUGGUAAUGAUUAUGUUAAUCCAAUUUCAAAGGUUAUUAUCAAAAUUUCAAGUUUUAUAUGUGUUUAUAUGAUUCUUGAAAUUGUUGAUAUGAAUGUUCAUACACGUAUGAGUUUGGGAUAAGGUGUCUAAGUCAAUAACUAUUUCUGGUAAGUACUUGACCCGACCCGGCAUGGUCCAUNNNNNNNNNNNNNNNNNNNNNNNNNNNNNNNNNNNNNNNNNNNNNNNNNNNNNNNNNNNNNNNNNNNNNNNNNNNNNNNNNNNNNNNNNNNNNNNNNNNNAGCGCUUGGCGGGAGGCAACCCGUUAUAUAGAGUUUGCUUUCUUUCACUUUUUAGUUUUUUUUAAUUUUUCCUUCGUUUUUUUUUUUAAAUGUUAAUCUUCCAAAUCGUCGGACAUGUCUGCUUGAGAGUGUGCAUGGGCCAAGUGUGGGGUGAAAUGAUUUUAAAUAAAUAACAAAAUUUCGAAAAUUAUGAAUUUUUGCAAGAGACUCACCGAGUCUGACCACGACUCGACGAGUCCAUAUUGAUUUCAGAAAAAGUUUGACUUCGCGACUAGACUCGCCGAGUCUGACCCCGACUCGACGAGUCAGUAUUAUUUACAGAAAAAAAAAAUUUGAAAUUACUUUUACAUCUGGUAACUAGGGUUUUAACCCUAAGAAUCAGUUUUCACAUACAUACUCGCCGGGUGCCCCUCUCUAACUUCCUCUCAAGCAUUCAAGUUUUAUUCAAGUUUUCUUCAAAUUUUCUUCAAAUCUCUCAAGUUCAAACUCAAAAGGUAACAAAUUUCUUCUUGAUUUCUGUUAAGAACGUGAUUAUAAGGCCAUAUAUGGUAGCAAUUGCAUGAAAAACCCGUUUUUGAAAAGUAAUGAAUUUCUAGGGUUUUGAUUGUUCAUGAUUUUUGUUGUUUUGAACGUUUAUUUUGGCCUUAUUACCGUAGUAGUAAGUCCCUAGACAAAACCCUUGACAAAAUUUUCAGGUUUCAUGGCCUAAUUUACAUCGACCCAUCGACUGACUCGUGCAGUUUGCGCGACUUGCCGAGUCAUGCCUGGACUCGACGAGUCGAGUCGGGAUGCAUAUGCGAGAUUGUUUUAAUUAUAUUCUGUGUUUUCUGGGUUUUGGGAUUUUGUUUUGCAGAAAUCAUGUUCAGAAGGGGGCAAACUUCUAGUGGCCACCAAGGGGAUUUUCUGUGGUUAAACUUCCCACAAAUCGAGUCCGCUUCGACAUUGCGGAAAUGGAAGAAGAAGCUGGCUGAUAUCAAGAAGAAGGAGGUCUAUGUGCUCAACCGGAUCGAUUGGGAAUGGUUGCAGUAGGUUCGCUACGAGGAGGAAUUAGCUCCUUAUCUUUUAAAGGAGUUUCAUUAUAAUGGCGAAACCAUGGUGUGUGACGGGUGGAGCCGGGUAUUCCGUAUUCAAGAACCGGUUUAUUUGGAGCUGUGCUUAGAGUUCUUUUCCACGGUGUCUUUCACCGGGGGAGUGGAUGUCUUUCACCCAACAAGCUUCAGUUUCUGCCUUGGGGGAGAAUUUCAUCAAUGGUCAGUGGUGGAUCUUGCAUGCCGAUUGGGGGUUUAUGACCAGCCCUUGAUCUCAACACCCAUUUUUCGGGCCUUUUUGGCACAAACACAUAUGGUAUUUCCCGAAGGAGUUACAAGUGCGGGCUGGUGGAAUACCAUUGGUAAUAAAGUUUAUAUUCCAAAGUCGGCGCAAGAAGGGAGCAUUCGAUCCCCAACACAUCGCCUCAUUCACCGCCUCAUUUCAUCCACCAUCAACCAAUGAAAGGAUGAUGACAAGGUUUCCAACCUUGAAUAUCUUUUUCCUAUGGAGCAUCAUUACACCUGACGUUUUUUGCAACAUUCCUUGGUGUCUUGCUUCAUAUCUUUCGGAUGGUGCGGUUAAAGAUCGCAAGACUUCAAGAAUAAAUGGUGGGAUGUUUGUCACCUGGUUGGCUAACUCAUUCGGGUUGAUGAACCGCGGUGCAUGGAAUUUCAUGACGUUGAUCCCUACACCUCCGUUCAAUCCUAUUCUUUUCCGGAGAACGAGAAUCAUUGAAGACUAUGGUGGUGGCCAUUAUGCCAUUCCAAAUGAUGAUUCGGUGGUUGGUCCCGAGGCGCCGGGAAGACGGGUUCGUUCGAGGAGAGAGCGGGAUAUGGAGGAGGAGCCGCCGGUGAUUCCGGUUGAGAAUGAAGAUGUACCAAUGGAUUGGUACAAUGUGGAGAUGAGGCGACUCCAGGAUCAAAUGGCGAGGGGCUUGAAUUUUAGCAACCAGUCUCAUAUCCGACUUUUUGACCACUUUAACAUUCCACACAUAGAUGGUGGUAACUUUCCAUACAUUCCAACGUGGGAAGAAGUGAUAAGUGCAAGAAGAAGUGGGGCUGGAGGAAGUGGAGUAGGGCUUGAUGAUGAUGAUGAGGAGGAUUGAUUUUUAUGCAUUUUUAUUGAACAAUUUUUAAUUUUGUGUUUGUUUGUUUUAUUUGGUUUGUUUAAUGUUUUUUUUUAAACUUGUUUUUGAUGUUUAAUUAAUGUUUGAUGCUUUGACAAUUUUUCAGAAUUGAAUUAGGAGUGCUAGCUUCAAAAUGGGUUUAGAGUUAUAGAAUCCGAGUGAGAAAGAGAGUCAAGGAAGAGGAGCGUUAGAGUUAAAGUAUUGAGUCCGGUCCUUAGAGAUGUUGGCAAGGGAGUCUAGAAGUAAAAAGAAAGUAUAGAGAGUUUAUUGGAAGUUGGAUUAGAUGCAGAGUUAUAUUAUUUUCAUUCAGUGACCAACUCGUCAAGUGCACUAAACUGACUCGACGAGUCGCCCUUAAUUCUCAAAAAUGCGAAGAUUCCCCGAAGUAACUCGACGAGUCUAGUAUAUACUCGACGAGUCGUUUGGUUUCAUGUCGAAGGGGCUGCUGAUUUGAUGCUAAUUAGAGUACCACUUGACUAUUUACUCUUUCCAUAUUUAUUCUUGAAGAUCUUACACUGUUUUCCGCGUAUUUGGAGCGACCCACACGAGACGAGACACCCAAGGCAUGGAUACCAUGUCUAAAGUCAAUUGAAGUUGGAGCUAAAAUGAAAGUGAUCAACCUAUCCACUGUUAUCCCAGGGGAGUUUGUUCCAAUUCCCUCUUUAGUUUCUUUUUAUGUUUUUAUUAUGCAUAAUAUGCAAUGAGGGCAUUGCAUCAAAUAAGUGUGGGGUAGGGGGUUGGUUACAUAUUAGAAAAUUUAGAGUCUUAAUUUAGGCUAAUUUUAAAGGCUAAUUUUAAAAUUUUGCAUACCAAAAAAAUUACUUAGGAUUUAAAUUAGAAAAUUUUGGUAAAAGAAAUUAGGACUCCAUGUUAGAGUUGUGUUGAUAAUUGCAUGAUAACCCAAAUGUUUAGUUGAGCCUAUAUACGGUCUAGUGCAUUUGUGGCUUCCUUAUUCCAGUGAAAUCAUGGGACAAAAACACGACCCUGCUCAGCCCGAGGGAUGCAAUAUGUUUAGCAGCCUAAACUUGAAAUGUAUCCAGGAAGAUUGUUAUCGUUAGCCAAUAAAGGUUGAGAUUGAGCGCCCCUGCUUAAGCAUGUAGGGAUUUGAGUGAAAAAAAAGUGAGGAAUACAUGUAAAAAGAAAAAAAAAAGAAAGAGAAUUACAAGAGAAAUUAUAUGAAUUUUGGAGCAAUUAAAGUGAAGAUCAAAAGAUCAAAAUUCCAAGAAAUCCAAAAAAGUUGAAGAUACCGAAAAUCAAACAAUAAAGGUGGUGAAUUCAAAGAGAUCAAAGCAAAUAUCGAAGAAGAGAUGAAUUCAAAAGAGCUCCAUAGUGGUAUCAAAAAGUUGUAAUUCUAGAUUAUGUAUGCUCGGGUUGCUCAAUUAAAAACACCUUGAGGGUAAGAGGUUUUCUGCGGAUGGAUUCAGAGGGUUGCAUAAAAUGAGCAUAGUUCGGGGUGAGUGGGCAAGUGUUUAUGAGGAUUGUGAGUAUUUGGAGUAUGGGAGGUUUUUAGGAAAAGUUUAGACACAAAUGCAUGCGUUGCGGUCUUGGCAUAAUGGCUGGGUUAAAUUGGAGUUAUUAUAUAUGAUUCUAAUAUGUUUAAAAUUCAGUUUUGCUUGGGGGCAAGCAAAAGACAAGUGUGGGGUAUUUUGAUAUGUGCAUAAUUAGUUCAUAUUAAGUAUACAUUUUUAUUCAUUUAUUAGCUNNNNNNNNNNNNNNNNNNNNNNNNNNNNNNNNNNNNNNNNNNNNNNNNNNNNNNNNNNNNNNNNNNNNNNNNNNNNNNNNNNNNNNNNNNNNNNNNNNNNNNNNNNNNNNNNNNNNNNNNNNNNNNNNNNNNNNNNNNNNNNNNNNNNNNNNNNNNNNNNNNNNNNNNNNNNNNNNNNNNNNNNNNNNNNNNNNNNNNNNNNNNNNNNNNNNNNNNNNNNNNNNNNNNNNNNNNNNNNNNNNNNNNNNNNNNNNNNNNNNNNNNNNNNNNNNNNNNNNNNNNNNNNNNNNNNNNNNNNNNNNNNNNNNNNNNNNNNNNNNNNNNNNNNNNNNNNNNNNNNNNNNNNNNNNNNNNNNNNNNNNNNNNNNNNNNNNNNNNNNNNNNNNNNNNNNNNNNNNNNNNNNNNNNNNNNNNNNNNNNNNNNNNNNNNNNNNNNNNNNNNNNNNNNNNNNNNNNNNNNNNNNNNNNNNNNNNNNNNNNNNNNNNNNNNNNNNNNNNNNNNNNNNNNNNNNNNNNNNNNNNNNNNNNNNNNNNNNNNNNNNNNNNNNNNNNNNNNNNNNNNNNNNNNNNNNNNNNNNNNNNNNNNNNNNNNNNNNNNNNNNNNNNNNNNNNNNNNNNNNNNNNNNNNNNNNNNNNNNNNNNNNNNNNNNNNNNNNNNNNNNNNNNNNNNNNNNNNNNNNNNNNNNNNNNNNNNNNNNNNNNNNNNNNNNNNNNNNNNNNNNNNNNNNNNNNNNNNNNNNNNNNNNNNNNNNNNNNNNNNNNNNNNNNNNNNNNNNNNNNNNNNNNNNNNNNNNNNNNNNNNNNNNNNNNNNNNNNNNNNNNNNNNNNNNNNNNNNNNNNNNNNNNNNNNNNNNNNNNNNNNNNNNNNNNNNNNNNNNNNNNNNNNNNNNNNNNNNNNNNNNNNNNNNNNNNNNNNNNNNNNNNNNNNNNNNNNNNNNNNNNNNNNNNNNNNNNNNNNNNNNNNNNNNNNNNNGGGCGGCAGUCUCUAAGGCAUACCCCCAGAAAGCUAUUGGUAACGAAGUCCGACUCAUCAUAGAACGAACCAUGUCCAACAAGGUCCGAUUACGUCUCUCAGCCACACCAUUCAAUUGUGGCGUUCUCGGAGGCGUCAAUUGCGAAACGAUUCCGCAUUCUUUUAGAUAGUCGUGAAACUCAAGACUUAGGUACUCUCCUCCUCGGUCUGACCGAAGCAUCUUGAUUUUCCUGCCCAGCUGAUUCUCCACUUCAUUCUUAAACUCUUUGAACUUUUCAAAGGUUUCCGACUUUUGCUUGAUCAAGUAGAUAUAUCCAUAUCUGCUAUAAUCAUCUGUAAAAGUCACGUAGAAGCGGCAAGCAUCCCUUGUGGUGGAUCUAAAGGGCCCACACACAUCGGUGUGUAUGAGAUCCAAUAAACCCUCACCCCUUUCACAAGUGCCAGUAAAGGGUGACUUGGUCAUCUUCCCAAGUAAACAAGACUCACACGUGUCAUCGUCCCUAAGGUCGAAUGACUCCAACACUCCAUCCUUUUGGAGUUGGGCUAUGCGUUUCUUGUUGACAUCAGGUUUUAAACUAAGUGAGUUUGCACACAUCACUAGACUAGUAGACGAAUCAAUAUUCAAAACAUUAUUUCCAAAAUUAUCAACAAUCAUCACAGAUUCAUAAAUCCCAUUACAAGGUAAUGCAUUGAAAUAAAAGACACCAUUCAAAUAAACAUUAAUAGAACCAUUACUAUUAUCAAAAGAAUAUCUGAAACCUUGUCUAAACAACCCAUGAAAAGAAAUAAUGUUUCUUGCCAUAUCUGGCGAAUAACAGCAAUUCUCUAAAUCUAUUCCUAACCCAUUACUUAACACUAAAGAAUAAACACCGACUUUGGUCACAGGCGACGAUCUUCUGUUUCCCAUAAUCAGGUUCAUCUUCCCAUGCUCCAUCUCCCUACUUCUUUUUAGGCCCUGCAAAUCAGAACAAAUGUGGUAACCACAUCCUGUAUCAAGAACCCAUGAAGUAGCAAAUGAUGAGUUAUUAGAUUUAAUAGAAUACAUACCUGCAAAUGUGGGCUUGAUCUUCCCAUCUCUUAUGUCCUGCAGAUAUUGUGGGCAGCUUCGCUUCCAGUGGCCCUUUUGGUGGCAGUAGAAGCACUCUGCUUCUUUAGGGUCGGAAGAGGGUUUAAUGGGGCCAGCUUUGGUCCCACUUGAGGAUGAACCAUCACGGGGUUUCCCCUUAUGGUGGCUCUUACAUGGAGCCUUCCUCUUUUUACCCUUUCCUUGACCUAUCGCCAUCACAGGAGCGGCCACAGCAGGGGACGGUGCAACGGAUUUGUCUUUGAGGUUGCUCUCAGCAGUCCUCAAGAGUCCUUGGAGCUUGCUCAAGGAGACCUCCUCUUUGUUCAUAUGGUAGGUCAUCCUAAACUGAUUGUAGCAGGAGGGCAAGGAGUGGAGGAUUAUGUCGAUAGCCAAAUCCUCAUCAAACUUAACAUUAAGUUUGAGAAGACGAUCAACAUACCUCUGCAUUUUCUGCAAAUGAGAGGUUAGGGAUUCUCCACUCCCCAUCUUAGCGGUGAUCAUGCUAGUAAUGAUCUCAUAGCGCUCUUGCCUCGCGCUCUGGUGAUACCUGUCCAGCAAAUCCUGAUGCAUUUCAUAUGGAUACAUGUCCUCAUAGGACUUUUGGAGUUCGAGGUUCAUGGUGGCCAGCAUGAUGCAGUGAACUUUCGUGGCAUCACGCUCGUGGGCCUCAAAGGCGGCCAGUUCCUCAGGAGUAGCAACAUCUGGGAUGAUCUUCUCAAGCUUUUCAUCGAGGACAUAUUCUUUGUCCUCGUAGCGUGUGAUCAUGCGAAUGUACCUCAUCCACUCGUUGAAGUUUGAACCAUCAAAUGUCACUUUCUGACACAAGUUCAUCAACGAGAAUGACCCAGAAGCGUUGUUGUUGUUGUUGUUAGCAGACAUCUGAAAAAGAAAGGAACAAAGUUUGAUUAGAAAUGAAUCCCUAAUUAAACACCCAAAUGAGAAAUUAGGGCUAGGAUCCAACAACAUUAUUUACAACUUAGAAAGGGAUGUCGUACUCUAAAAGUAAAUAAUUUGAAGGUAAGUGAAUGACGAUUCACUAAUUCUCACCAUGAAAAACGAAAAAGCAAUUUAGGUUUUAAAUGUAUUGAAAACUCCUAGAUCUUUGAGAUUCAUUGAACUUUUCAAUGGCAUGUUUAAAUCUCGAUAUGCAUUUCAAAUUUGCGACUGGGAUGCCGAGGAUCGCAAACAAAUUUGUGAAUAACCAUGCGAAUUAACGUGGUGCACUCAAUGUCAUUAUCACCUAAUCAAUGUGCCGGUAAACCACACACGCUCCAUUGAUCUAUGACAAACAUCGAGUCACCCUUCGCUACCUAUGUCAUCCCCAAAUUGAUGUGCCGGUUAACCACACGCGCUCCAUCAACGUUUGACAAGGGUACGAAGUGUAAUUCCAUGGAUUAGCAUCAUUUUCACAUUUUACCCUAAAGUAACUAGGAAUGGGAAUUUGUAAAAACAUGUAGUUACUUUAUAUUCAACAUUAUACUUUUAAUGAGGAGAGAGUUUCCCUAUCCUACCCGUUCGGCUAACGACCCUCCACGAGUCAAGCAAGCGGUAGGUAUGAGUGUACACCUAUUAAGCGCCAUUCUAUAAGCAGCAACCUUAUACCCACCUUAUAGACCGGCUUCGUGAAUGAGGCCUACUAACGGUAAGACUAGCAUUUAAGUUAUAUAUAUAUAUAUAUUAAUUAAGCUUGUAAUAAUAUAUAAUAGUAUAGGGUUGAAUUUUAAACUUGUAAAAUUCUAAGGGUUUGAAAUUUAAAUUAUUCAAAAUUAAACUUUUAAUUACAAAAUUCAAAUUUCAAAACUUGAGGGCAAGUUUUGAACUUUUCAAAACAUAAGGGAUCAAAUAACAAAUAAUUCAAAUUAACCAAUUAAUUUCAUAAUUAUAUAUAUUUGACCUAAUCUUAAUUUUAGUCAUUAGAUAAUUACCAAAUAAUUUUUAAAUAAUCCAUAUUUAUCACAUAAAUAACUAAUAUUUAAAAAGAUUUGAAAUUAUCUAUUCUUUUGGCAAGGAUAAACACUUAAUAUAGAUAAAAUUCGGAUUUUAACUUCAUAAAACAAUUAAGCAUCAAGUCCAAGUCAAAACAGCAGCCAAAAACCCGAAAAACCCUAAUUCUGACGAACUGACUCGCCGAGUCAGGCCUGGACUCGCCGAGUAGGGGCCAACUCGCCGAGUCCAGGUAGUGACUCGCCGAGUUGAGUCGGGCAGGGACCAAAAAUCGUUUUCUCAGCAAAUAAAGCAGUUAAGCAUCACAUACAACUGAAACCAAUCAAAGCUCUGAUACCACUGAUGGGUUUUAUGCAUAAGAAACAUUCCUAUGUGCUCAUACAAACCCUAAUGCUUGGAUCUAGGUUUCACUAUUGAACAUGCUUUGAUUCCAAGACUUACAAACCCUAAUCUAGCAUAUAAACAACAUAACUAACAUAUAGAAUCAGAUCUAGAUGUUUACCUCUUCAAUUGUUGGCUUAGAUCUUGUAUAUCUUCUUCUUUUGAGCCUAGAGUCACAAAUGCAACUCCUCUAAUGGUUCACAAACCCCACAAGCAAGAAGGCAAUAUGAGAGAGGGAGAGGGAGGCUAGAAUUCGGCCUAGGGUACUCUUGGAAUCAAGUGGUAGCCGAAUUCAUGCCCUAGGGGUCAUAUUUAUAGUUACAGAUUACUAGGGUUUCACUCUAAACCCUAAUGGACAGCUUAACCACAAAGCAGCCCAUGGAACCUUCUGGAAUAAGGCCCUUGGACGAAAAUAUGAUGGUUACCCAUCAUAAUUUCGUUCCCCCUUAAGCCCAUUAGGUUUCCUUAACCUAAAACUCAACUAUCACACAUUUGACAGUUUAUACCCCUUUAUUCAAUUAAUCUCUUUUGACCACUAAAUUAAUUCCUAAUUAAUUUAUGAUCAAUACUAAUUAAAUAAAUAUGAUUUCUCCUUUAAUAUAUUAUUCUUAUAAUAUAUUAAUAAAUCAUAAUACUCUCUCUUUCUCCUUAAAUUACCUUGUCAAGUUGCUACGGAGAAGGCAACCCAAAAGGACCAUGCACAACCGGGUCAAGUACGUACCACAUAUAGUUACGGGCUUAGACACUAUUCCAACAAACCCAUGGAUCAAGAAAUGAAGAGUCAUGGAACAUUAGGGUUUACCUAAUGUCACACACUAUAUAAGCAAUGUAACUUUCCCCAAAACCGGCUACACUAAGAAACAAGAGGGCUUGGCCAAUUUUGCAUGUGUUAGAGUAUUCUCUCAAGUUUAUUCUUUGCAUUUGGUGUUGUGUGAAGCAUUUGAGGCAUCACACUUGAGGUGCUAGGCUCACAAGGUUUCAAGGAGCACUUUCAACAACAAGGUAUGUAGUUCUAUCUUUUAUACAAAGAAAAUUGUACCCCAUGUAUGCUAGAUAGGUUCAUAACCUUGGAAAACAACUUUGCAUGAUUAUUAGACAAACAUAGAUCCAAGGUUAUUAGGGUUGCAUGUACACUUAGGAAGUGUUAGAAUGCUCAAAACCCAUCAGGUAGAUCAUAGGAAUUAUUUGCAAAUUGUUUGUUAGUUUAAUUCUUGAAUUAAAUGUUUUAAUGCAGUCCAUAAUUUGUCCUCAAGUUAUGGAUUACCAAAAGUCUUCUCUUUUAAAGUCCAUUAAAGAAUACAUAGGUUACAUAAAAUGAAGAGUCUUCAUUUUAUUAACCAUUAACUCAUAAGUUAUGAAGUUGAAAAGUUUUGAAUAGCUAUAAAACUUUCCCUCAAGUUUUGGAACAUGUAAAGUCACUUUAGAAAACUUUAGUUUCAACCCCUAGAAUUUUAAAAGUUAAAAUUAAACCCUUAUACUUUAUAGUAUUAUAAGUUAAUAAUAUAUAUAUAUAUAUGUAUAAGAUCAAGUUGUUUUACUGUUAGUAGGCCUCAUUCACGAAUUNUAUUAUAAGUUAAUAAUAUAUAUAUAUGUAUGUAUAAGAUCAAAUCGUUUUACAGUUAGUAGGCCUCAUUCACGAAGUCGGUCUAUAAGGUUGUUGCCUAUAAAUUGGCAGCCUAAUGGGUGUCCACUCUCACCUACCGCUUCCUUGAUCGGUGGAGGGUCGUUAGCCGAACGGGUAGGACAAUGACUUUAAUUCUUGUUAAAAGUAUAAUAAUUAUAAAGUAACUUAAUGUUUUAUAAAUUCUCAAUCUUAGUACUUUAGGAAAAUGUGAAUUUGGUGCUAACCCAGGAAAUUACACUUUGCACCUUGCUUAAGUCGUUAGUGGAGUGUGUGUGGUUAACCGACAUAUUAACUUGGACUUAACAAGGUUGGCAAAGGGUGGCUUAAGGUUUAUCAUAGAUCAGUGGAGAGCGUGUGGUUAACCGGCACAUCGAUUAGGUGAUAAACAUUCAGAGUACCAAGUAAAUUUGCUUGGUUAUUCACAAAACUUGAAGGGCACAAUCGAGAUUGAAACAUGCCAUUGAAAAUUUCAAUGAAUCUCAAAAUAGUCUAGGAGUUUCAAAACCAUUUAAAACCUAAUAAUACAUUUCGUUUUCAUGGUGGAAAUUGGUGAAUCGUCAUUCAUCUACCUUAAAAUAUUUUAUAGCUUGGAUUACGACAUCCCUCUUCUAAGUUAUAAAAUAUUGUGUUGGGUCCUAGCCUUAAUAUUACAUUUGGGUGUCUUAUUAAGGACUAUAUAUAUCUAAACUAAACUUGUCUUUCUUCCUUUUUCAGAUGUCUUCCAACAAUGCUGCUUUUGGCUCAAACCCUACCGGCUCCUUCUCUCUCAUGAACCUUUUUGGGAGAGUCAUCUUUGAUGGGACUAAUUUCAAUGAUUAGAUUAGGAACAUAAGGAUGGUCACUCGCUAUAAGGACAAGGAAUAUGUCCUCAACAAUAAGCUGAAGGAACUUGAUGAGUCUUCUGCUACUCCAGAGGAGAUCACUGACUUCAGGACUCAUGAGAGAGAUGUCACUAAAGUGGCAUGUAUCAUGUUGGCCAUGAUGACAGCUGAGCUCCAAAAGUCCUAUGAUGACUUUUAUCCUUUUAAGAUGCACUAGGAUUUGAUGGAAAGAUACCAUCAGAGUACUCGUCAAGAGCGAUAUGAAAUAAUCUCCUCCAUGAUAACAACCCGAAUGAAGGAUGGUGAACCCAUCAUGGGCCACAUGCAGAAAAUGCAUUGGUUUGUGGACCGUCUAAUGAAUUUGAAUGUGAACUUCCCCGAGGAGUUGGCAAUUGACAUCAUAUUGCACUCCAUACCUUCUUGUUAUGAUCAAAUCCGAAUGACCUAUCAUAUGAACAAGGAGGAGGUCACACUCAGCAAACUUCAAGAACUUUUGAAGAUCGUCGAAAGUAUCUUAAAGGUAAAUCAGUUGUUACCACUCCUACUCCUACCGCCGCCCCUGUUCUGGCUAUCGGGCAAGGUAAAGGGAAGAAGAGGAAGAGCCCUUCGAAGGGUACCAAGGGAAAGUCUCUUGAUGGCCCCUCUUCAAGUAGAACCAAAGGUGGUUCUGUCACUCCUUCUACCAACCCUAAAGAGGUUGAAUGCUUCUAUUGCCAUGAAAAGGCGCACUGGAAACGAAAAUGCCCAAAGUACCUGCAAGAUGUUAAGGAUGGGAAAGUGAAACCCAACCAUACAGGUAUUUACACUAUAUUAUCAAAUAACUCACCAUAUUGUAAUUUUUGGGUCCUUGAUACAGGUUGUGGUAUUCACAUAUGUAACAACCCGAUAUUUCAAGUCAAUGUAAUGAUCUAAAGUCAAGUAGUGUAACCUAUUUUGAAAUAUUAAAAAUAGCAUUAAAAAAAUGUUCAAAAAUUUCAAUUUAGAUGUACUAAGUGGUAGAUAUCGUAACAAGAUUUUUAAAAAUAUAACUAACACUAAAAUCCGAGUUAUAAUGAAGAAGUUAUGAUCAAUCAAAGAUCCGUGUCAAAACCGAUAAAACACUGUUAAGUGUAAAAAGCUAAAUUUCAAUAAAAUACUUUUUAGCCUUAGGUAUCUAAACGAAAGUCGUAGAUUAUGUUAAACCGUGAACAUACGUAAAAAGAACGUCCAAAUCUGACUUUGUAUGAGGAAGUUAUGAAUUUUCGAAGUUUCGGAAUAGCAGUAGACAGCUAAAAACUCGAAAUAGCGAUCGAGUGAUUUCUAGCCGACGCAACCUAAACGAGAACCAAAGAUCUCGAAAAUAGUAGUACAACGGUAAAAAGUCUGACGAAAACUGGCGUCUGAUGAAGAAGUUCUGAAUUUUUAACGGAAUUUUCCUGUCCCGGCCUAUUAAAUAUAUAAUAUUUAAAAUAAAGACAAAAUUUGCCGACGGAGUCUAAACGAGAGUUAUAGAGUAUAAUCUGACCUACACGUGGAUAUAAAGACCGUAAAAAUCAGAGCUCGUAUACGACAUAUAUGAAUUUAUGAAGUUCGGGGCACAAACUUCCACAUAUGUGGAUUCACGUUGUGAGUCAAAGGGGGUUCACGACGUGAACCAGUGAUAGACGUUUACCAAGAGUCGGGCUAUAAGAUGUCAAGUCUACGAACUGAUCAUGACACAAUUCAUGAUGUGAACAAUUACACGUUCAUGACGUGAACUUUAAAUUUUCACCCUAUAAAUAAGAUGCGAGGCUGCCGAGUUUAUUUGCCAAUUUACAACCUCUCUCCCCUAAUUAGUCACUUUCUAGCCCUUCGAGACUACCCCGACGCCCCAGUUUCGUAUCCAAGCUUUGAUGAAAGCCCGAAGUCCCGAAGCUCCCGAGAAUACAUUUCGGUUGAAAUGCUGCCCGAGUAAAGUCUCGUUUUCUUCAAAUCAUCGCACUUACCAGGUGAGUUCAUACCCCUAUAUUUUAGGGGGGGGGGGGGGGGGAAUACAAGUGCAACACAAGAAUAACUUAUGUUAAAAACACAAAUCUUUACAUACGAUCUCUAAUGUUUCAUCUACAUUUUUGUGUGUAAAUGUUAAACACAUAAAACAACGUUAUUACUAAUAUUAUACUUUACAUACAAAGUUGGUAAUCGACCAAGGUUUUCAUUCUAAUGGAACACACUUUCGAAAAACUAUAAUAGGUAUAGUUUACAAGAUAUUCAUGAUACUUUACAUACUAUAAACACUAUAAAGAGGAAAUACUUAUAUUUACAAGAAAAAUGGACUUUUCAUACGUAAAUCUAUUGAUACUAACUUAUGUGAGCCAUUUGACUUCACCGUACUUCUAAAUACGCAUUUCAAGUCCUGUAUUAUAAACCAUAAUAUCUUGUAGGGAGAGCAUGAUACUUGUGUAUAGAUCUAUACGGGACUGACAAUCCCGCACCUAAACUGUUAGCUACAGUUAGACUGACAGGUCUGGGGUGACAAACGUCAUAACAUUUCAACGCUUGAAGAACGUUGUUACAUGCAGUAUGGGUCAAUAGCACAGUUAUAAAACUCACAUGGAGUAUUAAAACAUUUUGAUUUACGAGGUUAUCAAGCGCCUUAGUGAUUAUAUAUCCAUAUAUAAAUCUAUUUACACUAUUUUAGGUAUGGAAAAUACUUAUGCAUUUCGGUUUGGAACUUUUAAAACUACCACACAUUUAUGUAAAAUAUUGGAUUUUCUAGAAACAAACUCAGCUAUUUUAUACAGAAAGGCAUACAAUUCUAAUUCAAAAACGCUUAUGAACUCACCAACUUAAUUGUUGACACUUUUUCAAAACUACUUGUAUUUCUCAGGGAUUCGAUAAUACAGGUAAACAUUAACUUUUGGGGAAAGGACGCUAAGACGUCAGUUCAAAAAUUAUUUUAUCAUCAUAUUGUAAUUUACUUUUGAAACGUGUAAUUCAACAAUCAUGUAAACUUUUCAAUUAUAUAUAUAGUGGUUGUGUUUUCUUUCUUUACUAUUACUCAACUGUUAUGAUACUACAGGAAGUCAUCCACUCUCGAACGAUUCCGCCGUUCUGGUUCGGGGGUGUGACAGAUUAGUAGUGGAGCAUUGUUUAUAGUGAAUUAAGUAUAUCGAAUCGCAUAAGAUAUACAAACUAUAAAUGCAUAGGGACUAAAACUCUCUGACUAAACGUUUUCUCACAAAUUGUACUUCAUUAAAUUAAAAUGUUAGUUUCAUAAAAGUAUAAAUACAUGCAUGCACAACAGUUUAAUGUCGUAGUUAGAACUAUAUGAAAGUAUUAAGACAAGUUGGACACUAUGAUUAAGCCUUGGAGUACGUAAUCAGAUCAAUGAUGAAUAUAGCCUAGACCCGACAAACGUUUCGUGUCGUGUCAAGACAUUAAACGGGUUGAGGGUGCUUGACCCUAACCCGACCCGUUUAAUUAUCGUGUCGUGUCGUGUCAACCCGUUUAUUUUCGUGUCGGGUUUUGGGUUAAGGUUUAAAUCUUAUACAUAUGUUAUGACAUUCCGGGUUGAAACAUUUUAAAUGUUGAAAAUAAGAGUCAUGGAGGAAAAAAAAUGAAAAAGUGAAAUGCUGGAGUUGGGAGGUGGAACGGAAAAAAAAAUUAUACUCCUUCUGUCUCAUAUUUAUUGUUCAUUUUUUGACUUUUGAAGUUUUUAUUUUUUUACUUUGACGUUAAAUAUUUUUAUUUAUGUUAUAAAUUACUUGAUAAAGCUUAUAACAAUGAAAAGACAUUUAAAGCACAAUCCAUUCAUAUAUUUUGCAUUAAGUGUUAUAUAUCAAAAACAAAAAUAUUUAAGGUCAAAUUAGAAGAAUAAAGAAUUCAAAAGUCAAAUUGGACAAUAAAUAUGGGACGGAGGUAGUAGUAAGUUUAGAAAGCAAAAUGGAAAGAGUUAGAGUUAGGAAGCAAAUGAGAUAGGUAGUGAGGAGGAGUAAAAUUAAGUCACUUUGAAAUCUUGAAUUUUAUUUUUAGUUCUUGAAUUUGGACCACUACAAAUGUAUAAUGUUGAAAAUAUUUAUAAAAAUAUGAAAUUUAUAUAUANNNNNNNNNNNNNNNNNNNNNNNNNNNNNUAAUUGAGGGCCCCACCAUUUUUAAGACAAUGUCUUAAAAAACAAGGAGAAGAAUUAAUAACCUUUGAUUAGGUCUUAAAGUAAUCUAGACCAUGGAAUUCAUUUAAAACUAUUCAUCUAAAUCUUCAAUCCUUGUCAACCAAAAUCCACCAAUCAAAACAAAGUGUUUGAAAGUAUAUAUACAUACAAUCUAUUAAGGACUUUUUAUGGAUCAUUCGUCCUCUCACACACAUGAUAUAAUCUUAUUUAAGAGACUCUUCUCUAUCCCUCUUUACAAGAUAUAUUCUCCCUCUCAAGAAUUCUACAUCUAUACAAGCUUCAUUAGUGCUUCUAUCACAAUACUAAUGAUUCUACCAUUGUAUAUGAGUCAUGUCACCAUUGCCACAGCAGCUAUCACACUAAGUCUGUAAACGCUAAAACCACCAGAUCAACGACUGCUCCAAUGCCGACAUUACCACCACUACUUCUGCACUAUUCAUUCUUCUUAUCAGAUCUUACAACAAAAAAACAUCCGCUUCAAAUAUGUAGUAUCAAAGUAGUAUGAUCAAGGGUUUCUUUCAGGAAGUUAAAUAUAGAUCUCAUUUGUGUAAAUAAAAUCUAGAUUUGUAGUACUCAUGUUGAUCACCACACAAAUCUCAGUUCAGUAAUCCAUGUAUAUGUUGAAAUUGUAUAUAUUUAGAUUUUUUUAGCAGAAAAAGAUGAUACACUCUUUUAAUUUUUUGUAUUGUCGAAAAAAAAAGUCAAGAAAAAUAUUUGAACCAAUCUCAACGAUCAGAGGCGGAAGUGAAACUUGAUCAAGAUCUAGAUCGUCACACCAUAUUCACCAAAUAAUAUAGAGAAUAAAAAAUGCAUCAUGUUCUAAUAUGUAUCAACUAUGGGUUUGCAUCGGUUGUCUAUUUGAUAUGUAAAGAAGAAUAUCAAAAUUUGGGGGGGUUUGGGAAUCAAAAUCAGAACAAAAAAAUUUGAACUUAAAGUAAACACAAUAAAAUUUACAUGAGAACGUAAAUCAAAAAGCGUGUUAUUGUUUCUGCAUAAAAGCGAUUAUUUUUCUUCUAUAAAAGAAUAAUAAAACCAGAUAAAGUAGAACUUUGUAGAUAAAGAGAGGAAAAUACUCAUUGUUGACAGGUUUGAGUAAAGAUUGAGAUGGUCAAGAAACUUCAUUUUAUUGAUUUUGUUUUCUUUCUUUGUAACAACAUUACCCAUUAAAAAAAGUCAGACCACCAUAACCAUGUCACCACCAAACCACUAACAGCCAUCGAACCAUCAAUAGUCAUAGACCAAUCCACAAACGACAGUUGAAAACUCGAACAUCUACAAAACUCGAACCACUAAGGCCGAAUGGUAUAGUAACCACGAGGCACUUCGUGGUUGAGGUGGCCACGAACCACGCUCGUGCACACCGCCCCGGUGGUUCGUGGUAGGUCGUGGUCGUUGUCAUUCGUGUUCCCGACGACGGAUUCAAACGAGAAUGGUGAUUGGUGUUCGAAUUUUUUGGCCGUUGAACGGCUAUUUUGGCCGUUUUUUUUUCAAACACAAUUUACUAAUAUAAAUAACACUUCUAUUAUAUCAAAAUUUACACCCCAUUCUAUUCUCUAAAACCACAAAACACAUACACAUGGAUCCCACAAUACAUAUGGAGUUUUUAAAAAGUUUUGACUCGGAUGACGACGUAGAAUUCGUCGAGACAUUCUUCAAUGUUGUGCAACACCUUCACGCCGAAGAAAGUUUGAAUGCAGCGCGUACAAGGGCAGUCGUCAAUCGUGAUCGCCAAGCCGCACACGACUUAUUGGUACGUGAUUACUUUGCCGAUAAUUGUCUUUAUAAUGACGACUCAUUCGAACGUCGUUUCCGUCUGAAUAAGGCUAUAUUUUUACGUAUUAGUAAUGCUUUAGAAUCUCGUUAUGAUUUUUUCAAACAAAAACCCGACGCUAGAGGAAGAAUGGGUUUUAGUAGUAUACAAAAAUGUGCAGCUGCUCUUAGGUAUUUGGGAUACGGUAUAGCAUUUGAUGCAUCUGACGAAUACUUGAAAGUAUCCGAGAGGACCGCAGUUGAAUGCGUAGAUUGGUUUUCUGCAUGUGUUUAUGAGGUUUUUCACGAAGAAUAUUUGCGUAAACCUACUCAACGUGAUAUUGAGAGAUUAUAUUCGGCUCAUGAAGAGAGGCAUGGAUUUCCUGGUAUGCUUGGCAGUCUAGAUUGUACGCAUGUGGCUUGGGAAAAAUGUCCAACUGCAUGGCGUGGUCAGUUCACUCGAGGAGAUAUAGGUGAACCAACUAUCAUCCUAGAAGCUGUUGCAUCUCAAGAUUUGUGGAUAUGGCAUGCCUUUUUUGGAGUAGCGGGGUCUAACAACGACCUUAAUGUUCUUGGUCAGUCUCCACUUUUCAACGAUAUUUGGACCGGCAAAGCACCUGAUAUGACGUUCACGGUAAACGGGCACGCGUACAAAUAUGGUUACUACCUUGGUGAUGGGAUAUACCCGGAUUAUUCUACAUUGAUGAAGGCAUACUCAGUUCCUCGAAGUGAAAAAGCAAAAUUUUUUACAAAAAAACAGGAAUCAGCGAGAAAGGAUAUCGAGAGGGCAUUUGGAGUCCUUAAGCAAACAUGGCAUGUAGUGAAAUAUGCUACACGACUUUGGGAUAAAGAAAGAAUUAAGCGAAUGGUCCUAGCAUGUAUUAUAAUGCAUAAUAUGAUUAUUGAAGAUGAAGGUCGAGCGAUUUGCACGUAUGAUCCGAACGACGUUGUCGUUCCAAUUGAGGAGUUCGUACCCGGAACGAAUGCUUUUUUGGAGCGAGUUGUCGAAAUUCAUAACAGUGAAACGUGUUUCAAUCUUCGAGAAGAUGUCGCGGAACAUUUGUACCAACAUAGCAUGAACGACGAUUAGGAUUUUUAUAUGUAUGUUUGUUCGUUUUCUUAUUAAUGUAAUGUUUGUUUUCUAGAUUAACUAAGUAAUGUAGUUUAAAAUUGUUAUUUUAUUUUUAUAAUUAAUGAAAAAAUAGUUUUAAAAAAAUAAAUGCUUUUUACUUUUAAAAAUUGUAAUUUUAUUUUAAUUUUUGGAUUAAAAAAAANNNNNNNNNNNNNNNNNNNNNNNNNNNNNNNNNNNNNNNNNNNNNNNAUAUGUGGUAUAUGGUGGGUAUAACGGAUGGUCUAACGGCUACAAAUCAAUCAAUCACCACCGAACCGCUAGCAUACACGAACGUCGACUGCAUACCUUCUUCGACCAUGUACAACACAUCCAUAACAAUUGCCGACCACCUCAGCCCUUACGGCAUCACCAAUUUCGAACCAGAUCUGAUUUUGACAUCAUCCCACCACCAGAUGCAAAUUAGCAAAAAAAAUUUGAGCCAUCAACUACCGUGAACAAAGAAGGAUGUCUUGCGGCUGAUAGAAAAUAAACAAUUAUGGCACAAGUUUAAGAAAACUAACUCCAUUUGUGGGCUUAGUUUUUUAUAGGCUUACGUGUUUUUUUUUCUAAUCACAACACCAAAAAAAAAACAUAUAAUAACUUAGUCUUUAUUAAUUAUUUUUUAAAAAUUACAUAUCAAAAAAUAUUUAUUUUUUAGUAUCUGUUUAUAUUUCCUAUUCUAACAAAAAAAUAUAUAUAAUAUUUAUUUUAAAUUUCUCAAAAUAUACAUAAUCAAUAUAUUAUUAAAUUUAUACGAAACAUACAUAUUUAAAACAAAAUCCAUAUUAUAUUGUUAUUUUUUUAGUAAUAUGAGCAUUACCUAAAUUCAAAUUAUUAACUUCGUACCGAUAAUAUAUUAGUUUUAAUUUUUUGGUUUUGCAUGCAUUAGUUUAAAUUUAAAAAUGACAUGGGGAAAGUAAAUAAAAAAGUUGCAAGAAAAAAGUACAAGCAUGUAUGGUCUUUGUUAGCUGUCAAAAUAAAAAAAACUAGAAUUUUUUCUCAUUUAUCCAUAGGUCCACUCCCCUAAUAAUUUAUCAAUGUUUAUAUUAUAUCAAACUUAAGUUGUUGAUAUGAAAUUUUUAAUAAUUUUAUAAGUUUCGAGAAUUGUAAUAUGGAUUAUAAUAUUUUUUUUUUUUUGUUAAUCUAAUGUCUGAAGAAGGUUAAAUAUGUUAGAAAACGACGAUAGUAACUAAUAUUUAUCUGAUGAUGCUUUUGUCUCUCUUUAAUUCUUUUUCUACGAAAAUAUAAAAUAUAUAAAAUAAUAUUCUGAUGAUGGUUUUUUCUUUUUUCGUCGAAAAUAUUAAAUAUAUAAAAUAAUAUUAAGAUGAUGUCCUUGUCUUUCAUUAACUUUUUUUGUCGAAAAUAUUAAAUAUAAAAAAUAAUAUAGUGAUUCGUUAGAAGAUAAAAAUAUAUAAUAUUUAAUAUGACUAAUUUAAAAGGUAAGAACAAUCAAAAUAAAAAAAAUUCAUAUGAUAUAACUUACAAAAUUAUUAUAAAAUAUUAAAAUUUAUUCACGACCAAAUAUUCAUAUGAUCACAACAAUAUUUUUAUCUUCUAUAAAAAGUUUACACUAUAAAUGGCUUAAAAUCCAUAAAAAGACGUAUGUAUUUUUCAGACACAGAACAUAGAAGGCAUCUUAUUUCGAAAGAAAAAACUUGCUAAUUUUUGUUUCAAAUUAACGAAUUUCCUCAAAAUCACUAAAAAAUUAUUUUAAACAAAAACCAAAAUAAUUUCCUUUUUAACCGAAAUAAUAAUGAAAUUUUAUGUUUAAUGUCAAAUAGCUCGUCAGAAGGAAACUAAUCGUUGUUUUAACGCCAUAUAGAGUAUUAUAGACCAUCACUAAAAACUAAUCGUUUGAAAACUAAUCUUCGGAAUCCAACAAAUCGCCGCCACCACAUUUUUAGCCAAAGAGAUACAAACUCCUAUUUUUAACCAAAUUUUUUUUUUCAAAAAACAGUAAAAAUAUACGUUUUUAUUACAAAAACAUUUUUAAUCGUAUAUGUUUUCAAAAUUAAGCAUAUCACCACAUAAUAAAAUGAGUAUACAAUCAAACUUUUUUUUUUUCCAAAAACUAUCUUAAGAUGCCAUAAAAAAUAUUUUUUUACAAACUACACUACUAUGCAAUGCAACAUACUAAAGACUUUGAUCCUUAGGAGUUACCAAAAUUACAACAUAUUUUUCUUUUUAUCUAAAUUCAAUAUAUAUAUAUAUANUGGAGAACCUAUUCUCCGCAUACCGUAUUACGCAUCUACACACCAACCUAGAAUAUGAAAUGGAUCAUCUCAGAGAAAACAAUUCGACAAAAGGCCAAAAGGAACUAUCCGGUACUAAAAAGGAAUUAAUAGCCACAUGGAAAUUAUUCGCCGAAAAAAACUAUUCGGCGUCGCCGCAACGUGCGAGUACCCUACUAGAAAGAAAUUAUUCUUUAAAUGAAACCAAUCGCCGUCCGUUGCCAGAUAAAAAAUAACAGAAUGAAAUUACUAUUUGUUGGCCGUCUAGAGACAACUGAUCGCCGAAAGAAACAAACCGUCAGAAUGAAAAAUAAUCGAAAUGAAACGAUUUGACGACCACCAAAAUAACACUAACUUUCGUNNNNNNNNNNNNNNNNNNNNNNNNNNNNNNNNNNNNNNNNNNNNNNNNNNNNNNNNNNNNNNNNNNNNNNNNNNNNNNNNNNNNNNNNNNNNNNNNNNNNNNNNNNNNNNNNNNNNNNNNNNNNNNNNNNNNNNNNNNNNNNNNNNNNNNNNNNNNNNNNNNNNNNNNNNNNNNNNNNNNNNNNNNNNNNNNNNNNNNNNNNNNNNNNNNNNNNNNNNNNNNNNNNNNNNNNNNNNNNNNNNNNNNNNNNNNNNNNNNNNNNNNNNNNNNNNNNNNNNNNNNNNNNNNNNNNNNNNAGAGUUAGGUUCAAAUGUUUUUAGCAAGUAUUGUGUGCCUAAAUGCACCAAUGAGAAUUCAGGAAUUAAUAAAUCAUUAAAUAAAUUAAAAAGGGUAUAAUGGUAAACUUGGUUUAUCUAAUUAUGGUAAAAAAAUAUUUCAAUUAAUCUCUCCUUAAUUAGUUAAACCCUACCAAACUAACAUCCCUUUAUCAGUCGGCCGUCGAUCACAAAAUCAUCUCGUCUCAAAAUAAUUUCUCGAGAAUUUCUUGUAGGAGAAUGGAAGUUUUAAUCGAAGAUUUACGAUGGAGAAGACAGUGGUGUAUGGCAGGGAGCCACCCUUGAAGCCUUAAACCCGACAGGAAAACGAGUGGGGGAUGAGAGAACUUGGUGGUGGUCGAUGAUUCUAUGGGUGUUUGGCUGUUGUUGAUUUACAGAAAGAACGAGGGAGGAAGGAUUUGCAGCCAAUAACGUGGGUGGUGACAAACAGCAUCUCCGAUGAGGGUGGUUUGGCAGUGACGAUCGACGGGAAGUAAGGGAAAGGGUCUCCGGUCUUUGACUGGCCGCAGGAGGUGUUAUCAUUCGUCGAUCAAGGGGUGUUUGGCUGGUUUACCGGUCGUCGAUCAUCAAUCAGGUAAAAAAAUUCUUUUUUUUAUUUGAUGUUUAAUAGAAAUCAUUGGGGUGUUUGGGUUUUCCUGGAAAAUUGAUAUAAUGAAGGGGAUAUGGGUUUGAGUUUUGAAGGAAAUCCAUGGGUGUUUUGAUUGGGUGUUUGAGCUUUGCUGUUUUGACAGAGAAAAUGAAGGAGAAGCAAUGAAGGUGUGAUGUCCCAUUUUCUUGAUUGAUUUGUCAAGAACAACACCGUGUUCUUGACUGGAACGUGAUACUUAGAAGAAGAAAUAAGGUAACUGGAUGUUGCUUCUUUGGUGAUUCAUUGACUGUCAAUCAAAAGGAAACACAUGUUGAAACAGAAUAAAAGUUAAUUUAAAACUCAAUCAGGUGUCUUAUUUUCUUUAUUGAUUACAAUAUUCUAUUAUCUGAGAUUUGAUCAGUGUGUUUCGAUUUUACUGCAAUUGGAUGGUUUUGUUAUGAAAAAAUUAACAGUUGCCCUAAAAGUGUUUGAUGAAAUGCCAAAGAGAAAUAUUACCGUAUUGAUCACUCAACAUGUCAUGGCUUCAAAUUGUAUUCAUGGUUAGUGAUUGAAUUUUUAUCGAAUGUUUAUCGAUUCUGCAUAUCAUCUCUAUUAUUCUACUGAUUUAUGCAUUUUUCACUUUGAUAUUUUUCCAAUAGAAUGCAUAUGGUAACUGAAUCUUGAAUUCAAAUUCUAUCGGAAUGGAAUCAAGAAUUUCAAUUCUGUUGGAAUGGAAUAUGAAUAUUUUUUAUAGUUUUUAUUCUAUUAGAAACCGAACACAGGAGGUAUAACCUCUUGUGUAACUCAUUUACUUUGCAAACUUUAUUAAUUAAAAUGAACCAUCAUCUAUGAACUUUUCAUCCAAUUGCUUUUUGAUUUUGAUUUUGAAUCACGAAUUCCAGUUCUGUUGGAAUGGAAUAUGGAUUAAUUGUUUUAUUCUAUUUAAUGCACUAAAAUUUUUAUUAUUUUGAAAAUUGAUUAUGUUUUCCUUGUGAAUUUAGGUUUUGAAGAUGUUGCCAUUAAUGUGGAAAAUGAAGAAAACAUGGAGAACGAUAUUUGUAUUCUAACAGAAUGUAUUCUGUCAGAAUUUAUAAAUUGUUUCUUAGCAAUAAUAUUCUUUCGGAAUAGAGUAGUGUUUUUGUUAGAUUUUGAUGGUUUUUUUCCUUUUUAACCAUUUUUAGUUUUAAUCUUUAAGAAUAAAUGUAAUCAUUAAACCAUUAUUAGUCAUAAUUUUUUUUAGAAUGAUUGUAAUAAUUGUUUAUAGUAUUUUUCUUUACCGAUGAAUGUAAAUAUUGAUUCUUAAAGAAUAAAAUCCGUAUUCUUUAGAAAAUGUUAUUCUUGAAAUAUGUUUAUUAGUUUAUUCUUUAUAAAAAAAUAUAUUAAAUGAAACAAUAUUCUGCAAGAAUAAAACCGCAAUAUGUUUAUUAGUUUAUUCUUGAUUUUUUUGUCAUUCUGACAGAAUAAAAUCGGUUGUUAUUAAAAGUAAUAUUAAAAUUUGAAUUAGAAUUAAUUUAAAAAAUUCAGAUUUUUUAAAAAUAAGGGAAUUAAUGAUCCCUUAAAAUCCGAAAAUUUCCUUUUUUAAAAUAGGUUAAUUGACCAAAAUACCCUUUUGCUGAAAUUUGUGUGAUUAUAGGAUACAUGAUACCCUAUUGUAAUAUCAUAGACCCUCAGAUCAUGAUUGUUGAUUCUAUUCAUCCGGUGGUCCAGAUCUGUGCAUUCUGGCACACAAUAGUUACUAGAAACAAUAUAACCUAACCCUAUAUAUAUAUAUAUAUAUAUNAACAUAUAAUAUAUUUAUAAAAAUAUGAAAAUUAUAAUAAAUAAUAUAUAAUUAAACGGGUCAUAUUCGAGUCAUCUUCGAGUUGAAAGUCUUGACCCUAACCCUACCCGUUUAAUUAUUGUGUCGUGUCGUGUCAACCCGCGUACAUAAACAGGUCGAAAUCUCUGACCCUAACCCGCUAACUUCGUGUCGGGUUGUCGUGUCCUGCCAGAUUUUGUCAUGUCUAAUAUAGCCUGAUCAACUAUAUUUAUCCGAGAUAUGACCAACGUAUGUCGGGGAAUAGUCGUAGUGAGCAACAAGUCAAAAACUUACCAAAGUAACACUAGAAUCAAACUUUCAAAUUCAUAUACUAUAGGAGUAUUUUUUUUGACACUAUAAAAACUGUAAUAAACGUGUAAACCUCGAUAUUUCAUUAGAACUAGGAAUUGUCAAAUAAAUAGGAGGACUGGGUGUAGGCCUUAACGUAAAAUUUUCAUUCUACACUCAAAUUUUAUAUAUAUUGCUCUUAUCUCUAUUCUCGAUCAGGUGAAAUGGCAGGAUUUCAAAUACCCGGGGAUCCCUACUACCCUAACCAGGGCAAUGGAGGCUGGGUUGAGGAAGAUCCAGAAGAGGAUCUCGAAGAGAUUUUCGAGGAAGAUCCAGAAGAGGAUCCCGAGGAAAUUUUUGAAGAGGACCAAGAAGAAGAUCCCGAAGAGGAAGAAGAGGAAGAAGCUGAUGGGGGCACUGACUCAGAACCAAAGGUCUACAAUCCUCCCCAGGAAGCACCAAAUCCCCGAUGGAACUUUCAGGGCCCGACGCCCCGUUGGGCUGUAGAUCUGAAACAAUGGAUCCAGGAACAAGGACAGUGCCCGUCCUACGGCAUGGGACAAGGCUUUUAUAACCUCAGUAACGUAGGUUCGGCUGACAGAGCACUCCCUGUCAUGGUUCUUCGCAUCGCCAAUCAAGGCGAGCAAGCUAGAGUGAACGCCAACCAGAUCAUGGACGUUGGUGCCACCGCCCAAGUCACGACAAUACGUCUUCGUCGCCUGGACGAAGAACAUGAGCAAACAAUAAAGCACACCUUUUCCAUUUAGAAAGACAUUACCACUGCUAGAGCCGAGGCGAGGGAGUUUCGGAAAAGCCAAUCCGCAAAGGAGAGGCGCGUUAUCAAGGCUGAACGUCAAUUAGAUCGAGCUCAGACUUCCACGACCACAUACCAUGGUUCGCAACGUACCACCCAUUUCGGAGUAGAGCGUGUACUACUUGCUCUAUGUAUAUACUUAUCAAGUGAGCGUUGGUGCCACUCUUUCUUUUAUAUAUGUAAACCCAACGGAUUGUGAGUACACAAUUCGAGGGUCUGAAUGCUGCCAAAUUUUCCCAUUUUCAUUGAUGUACUCUAGACUUGUGUUAAGGUCAAAUUUUCCCGAUCGAUGUAUCAAAUAUUAAUAUCAAUGAGAUUGACACGCAAUUAUCACUUCAUGGGGUAUUUCAUUUAGUUUUUAAAAUGUUAAUCAUGUACUUAUUGUUGUAAGUUUCCAUUUUCGCAAUUAACUUACAAUUCGGUAAUGUUCGGAAUGUAAAGCACUCCAUAACCAUUUCUGAAGACUUAUCAAGAAUUCGUCUUUUAAUUUAUGGCAGAAUCAUGCCACCAAGAAGAAAUCCCCGACACAUCAAUACUACAGGACCACUACCACCUCCUCCACCACCACCACCUCCAUCGAUGGACAAUACUGUUUUUCAGGCUGCUGUAACAUCUGCCGUGACAGCAGCAAUGGCACAAAUGAGUAACAACGGGUCGGGAGGAGGAAGAAAUAGCUCUACUAAUGGUCAGCACCAAGGUCGUUCCGGGGAAUGCACUUACAAGGACUUAACCAAUAGCAAACCUGUAUCCUUUAAUGGGACUGGAGGAAUAAUGGCUCUAUCUCAACGGAUUGAGAAAACAGAAGCAGUAUUCAAGAUCUGCUCAUGUCCAGAAGGGAGCAAUGUAAAAUUUGCUGCCUACACUUUCUCCGAACGAGCCCUAUCAUGGUGGAAUGGCCACGUUAAGUCACUAACUAUGGUAGUGGCUAACUCCAUGGGUUGGAAAAACCUGAAACAAAUGCUCAUGCAAGAAUACUGCCCGAGAGGCGGAGUACAGAAGCUCGAAUAAGAGCUUUGGGUCCUAACUAUGAUAGGUUCGGACAUCACUAGGUUUAGUGACCUAGCAAUACUUUUCCUAGGAAUGGUUGCUCUGGAGAGCAAGAAGAUCAAAAGGUAUAUCUGGGGGCGUCACUUCAGAUCCAAGGAAGUGUAUUGGCUUUUAAACUAGUUACUUUUGAUAGUGCCAAAAAACUGGCACAGUCCCUUGUUGACCAUGGAGUCCGCCAAGGCUUCAUGACUAUUGUCCUAGAACAAACCAGAGGAAGCAACAACAAUAACAACGAUGCCAACAACAACAAGAAGAAGAAGUUUUGGAACAAGAUGAAGGGUCAAUCUUCACAAGAACCUUCCAAGAAACAACAGAUAGUGGCAGUCCAUGCCGCUACUACUCCCACUGUUGUUCCUGUUACCCCUACACCAUCAAAGCAAUAUGCUGGAAACCUACCGAAGUGCGGUAAGUGCAAUUUCCAUCACAACGGAAAUUGCCGAGAGAUGCACUGUAAUAACUGCAACAGGAAAGGGCACACUCCCCAUUUUUGUAAGGUGCCAGCAUAACAAAUCUAACAAGUUCUUGGAGUCGGUGUGGGCCAAGCGUGUUAUGGGUGUGGUGAAGCUGGGCACUACAAGAGAGAUUUCCCUAAGGCAAGGAAUGUUGGAGGCGUAGGAAGAGUGCUGGUAAUAGGGCAGAACGAGGCAAUAGCUGACCCCACGGUGGUUACGAGUACGUUUCUCCUCAACAACACUUAUGCAUGCAUACUCUUUGAUUAUGGUGCGGAGAGGAGUUUUGUGAGCCAUGAAUUCAAACACUUAUUUAAACAAAACCCACAAUCACUCAAUAAGAUAUUUAUAGUAGAAAUGGAAAACAGGAAAACAGAAAGCACAAACGAUAUGUACGUAGGUUGCACACUAGCUCUAACUGAACACUCUUUCCAAAUGGAUCUAAUGACGAUCAUUAUAAGAAGCUUUGAUUUCAUCAUCCGUAUGGAUUGGUUAAGCCUUCACCAUGCCGAUAUACUUUGUCACGAAAGGGCCGUUCACCUUAAUAUGCCAAAAGGCGAAACUCUUGUCAUUUAUGGUGACAAACCCAGUACCAACUUACAAAUCAUUGCUUGCGUCAAGGCCCAAAAAUAUUUAAGCAAGGAAUGUCAUGCGUUCUUGGCACACGUCUUAGAUGUGAAACGAGGAGUAGAGGACAUCAAGAGUGUGCUAGACGUCUAUGAUUUUCCCGAUAUCUUUCUCGAUGAUCUUCCAGGAGUACCUCCUGCAAGACAAGUCGAAUUCAGAAUCGACUUGAUUCCCGGAGCUACCCCGAUAGCAAAAUAUUCGUACCGACUAGCAUCAGCAGAGAUGCAAGAAUUAUCCAGCCAACUGAACGAACUACUCACCAAGGGAUUCAUCAGACCGAGCUUGUCACCUUGGGGAGCACUGGUUCUGUUCAUAAAGAAGAAGGAUGGAUCUUUCCACAUGUGCAUCGAUUACCGGGAACUAAACAAGCUCACAAUCAAGAACUGAUAUUCCCUACCGCGCAUAGACGAUCUGUUCGACUAGCUCCAAGGAGCAAGCUACUUCUCAAAUAUCAAUUUAAGAUCCGAGUAUCACCAGCUGCGUAUCCUGGAAGGAGAUGUUCCCAAGAUGGCAUUCCGAACUCGUUAUGGUCACUACAAGUUUGUAGUGAUGCCCUUUGUAUUAACAAAUGCACCGGCGGUAUUCAUGGACUUAAUGAACAGGGUAUGUCGUUCGUUCCUAAACAAAUUUGCGAUCGUAGUCAUACACGACAUACUCAUUUAUUCAAGGAGUAAAGAAGAACAUGGUCAGCACCUGAGACAAAUCUUGGAGACACUACGAGCAGAGAAGCUUUACGCAAAGUUCUCAAAGUGCGAGCUUUGGAUUAGGAAAGUGGACUUUCUAGGCCACGUAGUCAGCAAAGAGGGAAUCCACGUGGACCCUUCCAAAAUCAAGGCAAUCAAGAUUUGGUCAACACCGAAGACACCAACCGAAAUUCGCCAAUUCCUAGGACUUGCUGGCUAUUACCGCAGGUUCAUACAGAACUUCUCCAGCAUCGCAAAACCCCUUACCACUCUGACGCAAAAGGGAGUACCUUUCAAUUGGGGAGAAAAGCAAGAUGCUGCAUUCCAAACUCUGAAACAAGCCUUACGUAGUGCACCCAUUUUGUCUCUUCCAGAAGGGACAGAAGACUUCGUAGUAUACUACGAUGCGUCCAAUCAAGUGCUAGGUUGUGUGCUGAUGCAACGAGGAAAGGUUAAUGCUUACACCUCACAACAACUAAAAACACACGAGGUCAACUACACCACUCAUGACCUAGAGCUUGGAGCAGUAGUGUUCGCUCUGAAGAUUUGGAGGCACUACCUAUACGGAACAAAGUGCACCAUCUUCACAGACCACAAGAGCCUUUAACACAUAUUCGACCUGAAGGAGCUAAAUAUGAGACAACAAUGUUUGGUCGAACUACUCAACGACUACGAAUGUGAAAUUCGUUAUCAUCCCGGUAAAGCCAAUGUAGUGGCGGAUGCCUUAAGUCGAAAGGAGUACUUUGGUAUAAGAGUGAAAAUGCUAACCAUGACAAUACAUUCACACCUGUCAACGCAAAUCAAGGAACCCCAACUACAAGCCUUGAAACUAGAAAACAUGACAGGUGAAGCACUUAGAGUAAUGGACAAGCAUCUAAAAAUCAAAAGUGAUGGAGUUCAUUAUCUCAUGAAUUGAAUAUGGACACCGAAAUUUGGUGGAUUCAGAGAGGUGGUCAUGGAUGAAGCACACAAGACUCGAUACUCCGUACACCCAGGUUCAGAUAAGAUGUAUCUGGAUCUCAAACAACUCUAUUGGUGGCCAAACAUGAAAGCAGAUAUUGCUACCUACGUUGGCAAGUGCUUAACUUGUGCCAAGAUCAAGGUAGAACACCAAAAACCCUCAGGAAUACUCAACCCGAAAUACCUGAGUGGAAGUAGGAGUAGAUUGUUAUGGAUUUCAUAACCAAACUACCCAAGAUGCAAGGUGUUCACAAUACCAGUUGGGUGAUUGUCGACAGGUUAACCAAGUCUGCCCAUUUCUUGCCAAUCAAGGAGACCGAUAAGAUGGAGAAACUGACAAGAACUUAUAUCCGGGAAAUUGUGCGACUUCAUGGAGUACCAAUAUCCAUUAUCUUAGACAAAGAUAGUAGAUUCACCUCACGGUUCUGGCAAUCGCUACAAAAAUCUCUAGGAAUGAGACUAGACAUGAGUACCGCUUACCACCCACAAACCGACGGUCAGAGUGAAAGGACCAUUCAGACCUUGGAGGAUAUGCUAAGAGCUUGUGUGAUUGAUUUUGGUUAGGCAUGGGAUAUCCAUUUACCACUGGUCGAGUUCUCGUACAACAAUAGCUAUCACACUAGCAUCAAGUUUGCUCCAUUUGAAGCCCUCUACAGCCGCAAGUGCAGAUCACCUCUAUGCUGGGAGGAAGUGGGUGACAAGUAGAUGGCGAGACGCCUAGUCCCUGAUAACACUCUCACUGGACUGGAAAUCAUUAGAGAGACGACUGAAAAGGUCGUCCAAAUCUUUGAAUGAUUAAAACCUCAAGAGAUAGACAAAAGAGAUAUGCCGACAAGAGACGAAAACCCUUGGAAUUUCAGGUUGGUGACCGCGUUCUACUAAAGGUCUCUCCCUGGAAGGGCAUGAUACGCUUUGGGAGGCAUGGAAAACUAAACCCAAGGUACAUUGGACCCUUCAAAGUUACUAAAAGGAUUGGUCCAAAUACCACUUGAACUUAACAACGUACAUCCUGUGUUUCGCGUGUCUAAUCUAAAGAAGUGUCUAUCUGAUGAAACCCUUGUAAUUCCACUUGAGGAAAUCGAAUUGAACGAAAAUCUUAACUUUGUGGAAGAACCCUUCGAAAUCAUGGAUAGGGAAGUCAAACGAACAAAGCAAAUUUGCAUACCAAUAGUGAAGGUUCGCUGGAACGCUAAGCGGGGACCUGAAUUCACGUGGGAGCGAGAAGAUCAGAUGCAACAAAAGUACCCGCAUCUCUUCCCUAUUCCAUAAACACUUACUUUGUAAAUAAUUUCAGGAUGAAAUUCCCUCUAACGGGGGGAUGAUGUAACAACCCGAUAUUUCAAGUCAAUGUAAUGAUCUAAAGUCAAGUAGUGUAACCUAUUUUGAAAUAUUAAAAAUAACGUCAAAAAUAAAAUGUUCAAAAAUCUCAAUUUAGAUGUACUAAGUGGUAGAUAUCGUAACAAUAUUUUCAAAAAUAUAAAUAAUAUUAAAAUCCGAGUUAUAACGAAGAAGUUAUGAACGACCAAAGAUCCGUGUCAAAACCGGUAAAACACUGUUAAGUGUAAAAAGAGAAAUUUCAAUAAAAUACUUUUUAGCCUUAGGUAUCUAAACGAAAGUCGUAGAUUAUGUUAAACCGUGAACAUACAUAAAAAGAACGUCCAAAUCUAACUUUGUAUGAGGAAGUUAUGAAUUUUUGAAGUUUCAGAAUAGCAUUAGACAACUAAAAACUCGAAAUAGCGAUCGAGUGCUUUCUAGUCGACGCAACCUAAAUGGGAACCGAAGAUCUCGACAAUAGUAGUACAACGGUAAAAAGUAUGAUAUAAAUAUAAUAUUUAAAAUAAAGUCAAAAUUUGCUGACAGAGUGUAAAUGAGAGUUGUAGAGUAUAAUCUCACCUACGCAUUGAUAUAAAGACCCUAAAAAACAGAGCUUGUAUGCGAAAGAUAUGAAUUUAUGAAGUUUAGGGCACAAACUUCCACAUCUGUCAGGAUUCACGUCGUGAGUCAAAGGGGGUUCACGACAUGAACCAGUGAUAGACGUUUACCAAGAGUCGGGCUAUAAGAUGUCGAGUCUAUGAACUCAUCAUGACACAAUUCACGAUGUGAACAAUUCCAUGUUUACGACGUGAAAUUCAUUUUUUCACCCUAUAAAUAAGAUGCGAGGCUAUCGAGUUUAUUUGCCAGUUUAUUUGACAGAGUGUAAAUGAGAGUUGUAGAGUAUAAUCUCACCUACGCAUUGAUAUAAAGACCCUAAAAAACAGAGCUUGUAUGCGAAAGAUAUGAAUUUAUGAAGUUUAGGGCACAAACUUCCACAUCUGUCAGGAUUCACGUCGUGAGUCAAAGGGGGUUCACGACGUGAACCAGUGAUAGACGUUUACCAAGAGUCGGGCUAUAAGAUGUCGAGUCUACGAACUCAUCAUGACACAAUUCACGAUGUGAACAAUUCCACGUUUACGAUGUGAAAUUCGUUUUUUCACCCUAUAAAUAAGAUGCGAGGCUAUCGAGUUUAUUUGCCAGUUUACAACCUCUCUCCCCUAAUUUCUCACUUUCUAGCCCCUUGAGACCACCCCGAUGCCCCGGUUUCAUAUCCAAGCUUUGACGAAAGCCCAAAGUCCCGAAGCUCCCGAGAAAUUUAUUACAUUCCGGUCGAAGUACUACCCGAGUAAAGUCUCGUUUUCUUCAAAUCAUCGCACUUACCAGGUGAGUUCAUACCCCUAUAUUUCACGUCUUUUCUAUAUGUUAGGGGGGAGGGGGGGUGGGAAAUACAAGUGCAUCAAAAGAAUAACUUAUGUUAAAAACACAGAUCUUUACAUACGGUCUCUAAUGUUUCAUCUACAUUUUUGUGUAUAAAUGUUAAACACGUAAAACAACGUUAUUACUAAUGUUAUACUUUACAUACAAAGUUGGUAAUACACCAAGGUUUUCAUUCUAAUGGAACACACUUUCAAAAAACUAUAAUAGGUAUAGUUUACAAGAUAUUCAUAAUACUUUACAUACUAUAAACACUAUAAAGAGGAAAUACUUAUAUUUACAAGAAAAAUGGAUUUUUCAUAUGUAAAUCUAUUGAUACUAACUUAUGUGAGACAUUUAACUUCACCGUACUUCUAAAUACGCAUUUCAAGUCCUUUAUUAUAAACUAUAAUCUCUUGUAUCAAGAGCAUGAUACUUGUGUAUAGAUCUAUACGGGACUGACAAUCCCACACCUAAAUUGUUAGCUACAGUUAGACCGGCAGGGAUGGGGGGACAAAAGUCAUAACAUUUUNNNNNNNNGACAAAAUUCUUAACAUUUCAACGCCUGAAGAACGUUGUUACAGGCAGUCUGGGUCAAUAGCACGGUUAUAAAACUCACAUGGAGUAUUAAAACAUUUUGAUUUACGGGGCUAUCAAGCGCCUUAGUGAUUAUAUAUCCAUAUAUAAAUCUAUUUACGUUAUUUUAGGUAUGGAAAAUACUUAUUCAUUUCGGUUUGGAACUUUUAAAACUACCACACAUUUAUGGAAAAUAUUGGAUUUUCUAGAAACAAACUCAGUUAUUUUAUACAUAAAGGCAUACAAUUCUAAUAUAAAAACGCUUAUGAACUCACCAACUUAAUUGUUGACACUUUUUCAAAACUACUUGUAUUUCUCAGUGAUUUAGUAAUGCAGGUAAACAUCAGUUUUUGGGGAAAGGACGAUAAGACGUUAGUUCAAAACUUAUUUUAUCAUCAUAAUGUAAUUUACUUUUGAAACAUGUAAUUCAAAAAUCAUGUAAACUUUUCAAUUAUAUAUAUGGUGCUUGUGUUUGCAUUCUUUACUAUUACUCAACUGUUAUGAUACUACAGGAAGUCAUCCACCCUCGAACGAUUCCACCGUUCUGGUUCGGGGGUGUGACAACAUAUGUUCUGAUUUGCAGGGACUAAGAAGAAGUGAGAAUGUGGAUCAUGGAAAGAUAAACUUGAUCAUGGGGAAUAGGAAAGAUUCACCUGUCAUCAAGAUUGAAGUUUAUUCUUUGUUGCUAAGUACACUACUAGAAAAUCGUGAUUUUGCUACGGAAGGAAUCUGUUGCGAAAAUUUGAAAUCCUGUUGCAAAAGACGAAUAGCGACAAAAUUUGCAACGACAUAUUUCCGUCCCUAAAAACGCCGUAGCGAGGGGUUUGCAAUGGAAACGAUAAUUCUGUCGCAAUUGUGACAACGGAAUGAAAUCCGUGGUAGAUGGUAUUCUGUCGUGUAUUUCGUAGUAG